UUUAGAAAGAACCCUAGGAAGAGUUUAGACUGGCGCGCACGUGACGUCACUCGUACGUUGACGGUCCAGCUCCACGCAUGCGUGCAGGAUCCCUGGGCAUAGCAGCUAGUUUUCCGCCCGCGGCGGCAAGCUCUGUAACGGUUCACACACUGACGGCGCCUGGAGGUUUGGCGAAAUAUUGACAGGAUGCGGCGCCAACGGGAGCGUAGGGCCAAGAUACCCUUUAUAUCAAACCAUGUAUCCUGGAGCAGAAAAAUCCUGUCUUCAUUGCUACAGCUGCAGAUUUCAGAAAUGAGCAUGUAACCAAAUGCAGGCCAAAGAGAUGUAAGGAAAUACCUUCUGGAAUUUCUAGAACAUUUUUUUUUCUUUCUCUCUGGGGAAAUAUCAUGGGAAAUGAACCUCUCCUCUUCCUGAUGCUGUGUGAGGAAAUGUGUAAUCCGAUUAUUCCUGGCAGCCAUUCCAUGACCAAAGGGAGCCCAACUUAAGAUGAAGCCAAUCCUGUGGUUGGCUGAACAGAAUGCCAUGUAAAUUUAAAAAAUAAAUAAAAUCUGCAACUUUCA